rnacentral:rRNA from 1 species
UACGUAGGGGGCUAGCGUUGUCCGGAAUUAUUGGGCGUAAAGAGCUCGUAGGCGGUCUGUCGCGUCUGCUGUGAAAACUCAGGGCUUAACCCUGAGCUUGCAGUGGGUACGGGCAGACUAGAGUGCGGUAGGGGAGACUGGAAUUCCUGGUGUAGCGGUGAAAUGCGCAGAUAUCAGGAGGAACACCGGUGGCGAAGGCGGCUCUCUGGGACGGUACUGACGCUGAGACGCGAAAGCGUGGGGAGCGAACAGG